rnacentral:rRNA from 1 species
UGAGCUUGGUCAUGUGGGUUGUGUGUUCGGGUCUGCUUAGCUGCAGGUCCUCGCCUCUGGUGGGGAUGCGCGUAUCACUUAUCAAGUGUUGUGCGCCCGGGCUUUAUCGGACCUGCUCGUCAGUGCACUUUCUCAGGGUGAUCACCACGACCGGCGUUGCCGUCUGGCUGUUGCGGUUAAACCGGCCUUGUAGGGUCCUUGUGGCUUUGCUCGGUCGGGAUGGCAGGUAGCCCGUUGUGCAUUUAUGUGCUUCGGGUGUAAUAGCUGACUGCAUCGGUUCUGUGCGGUACGUCGGAGACGGCGGCUUGUUGCGCUUGCGUGCGUGCCUGUUGCGCCGGCGGCUCUGGGUUUGGUUGCCUUGUUGCUUGUAAAUGCAAGCCAGGUGAUGGCUCGGUGUCGUUCGGUGUGCGGUUGCGUGCGUAGUGCUUUGAAAGGGCCCACAGUCUGUGGUGUAGUGGUAGACUAUCCACCCGACCCGUCUUGAAACACGGAC